AAUGGAGUCAUGGUGACUGCCAGGCCUUUUGCUGUGCUUUCGAUUCUGGUUGCCAGCUCUCCGCCACCAGGUCGUAGGCUCAGAAGAGAGAAGGCCUUUGUCCCUGUCCUGUGAGGACCACAGCGUACAGCUCCAGUGCCAGGAAGACUGAGAGGAAUGCAGCCGGUUUGGAGGCUGGGAAUCUGGGUUUGGAGCCACAGGGGGGGCUUGGCCCAAGGCACCGAGUUCAUGAGCCUGUGAAGGCUGCAGCACCAGCAGCAGAAAGAGGGCAAAGUAGAGCAAGUGGGAAGGACUCGGCUGCAAACACAGCUGAUGCGUCCCUGAAAACUCAAGGAGAAUCAGGUCAGAGAUUUUGCAGGGAACAGAACUAAAUGGACACAGUUAAUAUACGUGAAGAUGAAAGAAUGACUUCAAGCAUUUAUUCAAUCAUGUUCUGUGCUACCUAUGAACAACAAAGAUAGCAUUUACAACACUGUGGGAAGACCCUUCCAGCCUCAUGUGCCAAAGUCCUAUCAGAAAUUGCUUCAAGAAAGCAAGUGCCUGAUUUUACAUUUGAGUAAUUGUCUGACUACCCAAUUGUUUCUUAUCAACCAUCAGCAGCUUUUCCGUAAGAGCCUAAGAAGCAGAGCACAGAAUUAGGCUCACACAGACGGCCCCCCGUCUGCAGCGGGCUGAGGUAAGGAUCAUUAACACCACUGACAUCACUUUUGGCAGCCAGAGAAAAGGGAAAACCUGUGUUUAAUCUACUUCCUACUCACCACAAGUUUCAGCCGGAGUCCCCGAUAAUAUGGGUUGUGGUUGACUUUAUGGAAGAACUUGGUAAUGCAAGAAAAAUGUACUGCACUGAACAAGCAUCUUUAAAAAGGAACCACGAGGUACCUCAGCUGUGUGGCCCCGAUCUUCUGGAGGUAUUCUGGUCAUUAAACGGGCCUCAGGGAGGCCAGGGCCAUUCCCAACUGUUCCCAAUAAGACCAAGCUCAACAGAAGACUUCCCCCUCUGCACACAUCUAGUUAACAUCUCCUGGAGGCCAUCAGCAUAAAUCACAAAGAAAAAAGUUUUAUCUUUUGUCUUCCUUCUUGCCUUGAGAACACUAAGGGGGUUCGUGGGGGAAGAAUUUAAUCUAGAUUCUUCAAAGUAAACUGAGCUGGUGCUAUUUCUGGGGUCUAAAGGAUGAAUGAAAACUGUCUGAAACCAAUCGAAACUGGUCAUCAAUAUAGAAGUAUAGGGCAGCAUAUUUCAAUUGUAUUCAUGCACUAUUGUGACUUCCUCUACCUUAAGAAUUCUUGUUAAAGAAGUGCAAAGUCAUAAAGAUUUCUGGGCUAUGAAAGCAAAUCUUAAAAGUCGAUGUGAACGAGGAUACGCAAAACUACCCCAUCCAUACUAGGCUACAGAAGACCACAGGUGGGACCUCCAUGGAACUGGAUUAUGUUUAUGAGAAGGCGUAACACGGCUUGCAAUAAAGUAAUGCAACCUUGAGUUACCACUCCCUGAGUGAGGAGUAUCCU